UUAAUUACAAAAAUGUCUAUGUAUUAGGAGCUUAGAAAUAUGAUUGAUCUGAUUAUAAUAAUUGUUUACGUCGUACUAUUCAGAAUAAAUGUGUCUAUAUCACAAGUCAAUACAUGUUUAACAUUGAUUUUUAAAUUUUUGCAGCAUGUCUCCUCGUCUAGGAGCAGCCAUCCCACCGAUAAUCCCACAUCCAGUACCAGAAGUGACAAACAUCCCACGCAAGCUACCAAUAGCAGGAUUAAUGAUGAAUUCAGCAAGAUUAUGGGACUUGACAAUGGUGAGGGAGACAUACAUAAUGGCAAUAGUGAGGGAGAUCUCGACAUACAUAAUGGGGAGAUGGGUACUUUCACAACCAUAGUGUUAAGUAAGUAUUAUUCAUGACAAGAAAAA